CCUACGGGGGGCUGCAGUCGAGAAUCUUCGGCAAUGGGCGCAAGCCUGACCGAGCGACGCCGCGUGCGGGAUGAAGGCCUUCGGGUUGUAAACCGCUGUCGUAGGGGAGGAUGAUCCUGUGCAGAACAGGGUUUGACCGCUCCUAGGAGGAAGGGCCGGCUAAUCUCGUGCCAGCAGCCGCGGUAAUACGAGAGGCCCAAACGUUAUUCGGAACUACUGGGCUUAGUGGGUGCGUUGACGAGCAGGGUAGGAAAGCCCUCGGCGCAACCGAGGAAUUGCGCUCUGAACUGUCGUGCUUGAGGAAUCUAGAGGUGAGCGGAACUGAUGGUGGAGCGGUGAAAUGCGUUGAUAUCAUCAGGAACACCGGAGGCGAAGGCGGCUCACUGGGGAUUUUCUGACGCUGAGGAACGAAAGCCAGGGUAGCGAACGGGAUUAGAUACCCGAGUAGUC
rnacentral:rRNA from 1 species